rnacentral:rRNA from 1 species
UACGGGGGGGGCAAGCGUUGUUCGGAAUUACUGGGCGUAAAGGGCGCGUAGGCGGCUUAACAAGUCACUUGUGAAAUCUCCGGGCUUAACUCGGAGCGGCCAAGUGAAACUGUCAAGCUAGAGUGCGGAAGGGGCAACUGGAAUUCCUGGUGUAGCGGUGAAAUGCGCAGAUAUCAGGAGGAACACCGGUGGCGAAGGCGGGUCUCUGGGCCGAAACUGACGCUGAGGAGCGAAAGCGUGGGGAGCGAACAGG